AUCUCGCUUUAGGGGUAUUCUGAAAAGAAUUGAGAGAGUCCCUUUGAACCUGAUGCAGUUUAAACCGUCGUAGGGAAAAGUGUAUUGAGCUUA
rnacentral:ncRNA from 2 species